AAUGAAAAAAAAAAAAAGUAAAUUAAAUUUACUUUUCUCUCUCUCCUCAACCCACACGCACAAAACCUUUAUUUUUUCCUUCCCUUUUUCUUCUUCUUUUCAUUCUUCUUUUCCUUCCUGCCCUAGCUGCCAACACCUUCCAGUCGCCUCCGUCCGCCUUCUAGCCGCCAGCCUUGCCGUUCUGGUGCUGCCGCAAGCAACGUCGUCGAAUCUCCUCGUUAGCGCCGUUGCAAGCAGCCUCACCUCCCCGGAUCUCCUCGCCAGCACCAGCGCAAGCAGUGCCUCGCCGUUCCGUUGUCGCUGCCGUGAGUUCCAGCUGCCGCGAGCAGCGUCGCCUCCUUGUCAUUCCAUUCGCCGCCUCUGCCUUUUUGAGAUUGGGUAAGAUUAGAUUGUUUUGAGCAAGGUUUGGUGUUGAGUCUUUUUAAAGUGCCUUUUGGUGUUGGAAACGAUUUUAGUGUUACCCAUUGUGUCGACUUUCAAGAUUUGGAUUUCGAGGCGUUGCUAACAAAGAAAGAACCAUUCUCUUCAUCGAAGAGUUUCAGUUUUGAUUGGCUACUUGAAUCAAGUUUUGAAAUUUGUCUUGGAUCAAGCCACAACUUUGGAUUGAUUCAAGUUUUCCAAAGGUUUUAAGGAAUUAUUUGUGUGGACUUUUGUGACCAAGUUGAGGUAAGUGAUACUAUUACUGGUGCUUUCGUGCCAGGCAAUCUAGAUUAGACCUAUCAAGUUACUUGGUUGACUCUGGAGCAUGAUUUUGUUUGAUAUUAUGUUUUGCUACUUGCAUGGUGGCUACAAGUAUUAUGAGUAUGUUAAAAUUAUAAUCAGUACUGAUAUUAUGUAUGUGAUGCAUGAAUAGACCAGUAGAGCGGUUUAUUGUCUUGCCUUGACGCGUGUUAUUACUAUGUUUGACGGUGUGCCUACGGGCCGCUAGACAUGCGUGAACCGACAGGUUAACGUUCAUGUUAUUAUCAUGUUUGACGGUGUGCCUACGGGCCGUUAG